AGCACUCUUUCUCCAUAGUUCGACGACGCCGUAGUUCCGAAUCUUCCGAUCCAUAGCUGUCGUUCCUCUCGUCGCCACCGUAGCUCCUCUUCAACACAGGUUUCACUGCUCUCUCUUCCUCUCUCUCUUCCUCUCUCUCUAUCUCCGACUAUUCUCUUGUUAAAUUGUUGUUAACUUGAUUAUGAUGAUUUGAGUGAUAAUAAUUUUUUAAUUUCUUGGAUUCUUUACAGUUUGAUUUUAGGGUUUUUGAGUUUAGUGGUUUAAUUUCUUAGAUUCUUUUACAGUUUAAUUGUUAGGGUUUUAAUAGUUUGUUAAUUCUCUUGGAUUUCAUAUCUUUCUUGGAUUUCAUAUAUGUGUUGUCAGUAGAUUUGGUUCGUUGUACAGAUCAAAAAGAAAGAGGUGUUGGUGUUGAAUUUAUGUACAGGAAGAGCUGCUAAAUCCAUUCUAUUAUCUGGUCUUGCACAGGAAAUUGUUACUGCUUCUGGGCGACACCAGAGCAAAGUUGUCAUGUUGUGUGGGUAGGUAGUUAUAACAUGGUAAAGGGGUAGCUUUUGAGGUGUGGAAUUAUCUAACCUGUUUGUGUAAUUGGAGCUACAUUGUAUUUGACUUAUUUCUUGGCAUGCCUUAUGCCUUAUUUAAUAUAACCUCUUGGCCUACAUCACUCAGAAUUGGAUUUGGUUGCAUACCAAAUUAUUAGUUUAAUUUGUUUAUUUUUGAAAUUAUCUAUUAGCAUUUGGCAUAAACACUUGUGAGACUCACUACAAAAAUAUUGUAGGCAUAUAUAGAUAAAGGAAACUUGUAAAAGAUAUGAAGAUAGCUACUUUCAAGUGAUUGGAUUUAUAUCAGCAGGGACCUAGAUAAACAUAAAGCUAACAAAAGCUGUCUUUUAUGAUGCAGCUGAAGCAGAAGUCCACACCUGACAAUGUUGAAUUUUCCAUUAUGCUUGAGAAGUUGCAAGAUACUUUGAGGAGUUUGGAAUCAUUCCAAAUGAAAAAUGCUGAACAUGUAUUUAACACAGGUACCUUGCCUUUGGCUUGAAUGGCUUAUGUUUGAUAGAUAAUACAAAGCUUCUAAUUGCCUGUGUUUUAUUUUCAGUUUGUUGUGGAAAAGUUCAUUUACCUUGCAACUACUGAUCUCCUUGUUUAUUAUACAUAUAAAACAUAAAAUCUCACAUGCAUGCCUCACCCCUCUUAUUUUCUUUUACUUUUUAAAUGGAUUUUCGAUUUUGUGCUGUUAUUAUUGAAUACAUGUUCUCCAAUAAUGCAGUGAAGAAGAAAUUGAACAUGCUGAAAUAGGACAACUAUGGUAAGGUUUAUUUGAGAGUUACAUUGACUUAUUCACACAUUUAAUUGCCUUUGAAUUGAGAUGACUGUUUGAUGCUAAAAUAAUUAUUACAUUUGUUAUUAAGGAAGUAGAAAUGUCGUAAUUAAUCUUUGGUGGUACUUCAUUUUCAUGUCAGGAAUAUAUGUAGUAAAACGCAAAUUUGGACUGUCAUGUUAUGUCUGCUCGAUCUUUGUUUACGUGGCCAACACAUAUUCUUUUGGUAUGGUUUCAGUGAACCUUGUGCUUGACCACUCGAGUUUUUUUUAUAUGUUUUUCCAUAAUGAAAACUAUCAUAAAUCUUUUGGUUUUUCCUUAGGUUCUCUCCAAGUCAGGACUGCAAUUCCUUGCUCUGCUGCCUACACUAAUGCCUAAUUGAGGGUCAUUGCUGAGUGUGGUAAUUGGUAGGAUGACAAAUUUUGUAAACUCAUGUCGCUGUUUGCUAUAAUUAUUAUCAUUUUGUUGUAGAUUCUUGUAGUUUUUAUUCUUUUUAUUGUCUGUUUUUAGUGAUUGUUGUCCUUAAUUUCUGCUGCAUAAAACAUGUACUAGAGGACUUGAAUUUGCAUGUUUUGAAGCAUUAGUUUUUCAGUGGUUGGCUGGUUUCCGAAGGAAUUGAUGAUUGGCUAUCAAGAAAUAUAGAUAUUAGUUUAUGUAUAAAGCUCAUGUGGAGUAUUCGUUUUAUUNNNNNUAGUAGUUGGAUUUAUUUUCUGUUCAGUUUGGUUUUUAGGUGUUAGUUUGUUCUUGAGAUCGUUUUGUUCUUGAUUCGAUGCUGUUAAUUCCAGGAUUUAUGUAUGUAUAAUUAUAUAAUGACUAUGCACCUCAUCUACAACCUGUGUAGGAGAUGCAUGGAGGAUGAAGUUGGAUGCGUUUGGAGCAAUUAUGCAGGAAAUUCUGAAUUCUUAAACUAAAUUUGUUAAUCGGAUGCAUUCAAUAAUGAAUGAGGUAAGUUUUAACCGUAGAUUCUUUAUGUGACGCUAAUUAUUUCAAUACGAAUGUUACAUUUACCAUCGCCUAGCAAUAGUGGUACUGGAAAAGGGGCGCUUCUAACUGUAUCUUGAAAGGUUUAGCAAGUAAUAUAUCUUAUAUAAUUUUGACAUUAAAUUUGAAAUUUAUUUCCCAUGGCCUGUUUCAUUUUUGUUAUACUACUCAUUUAUAUGUUAUGGUUAUAAGUAUGUGUUUAGCCUAGCUCUCAAUGUUACACAUUUUAUUUUUCUUAUUGUCUCGGUUAUAAGUCAGUUUCAUGUUUGUUCUCUUAGUGGUUAUUUUUCUUAUUGUGNNNNNNNNNNNNNNNNNNNNNNNNNNNNNNNNNNNNNNNNNNNNNNNNNNNNNNNNNNNNNNNNNUUUCUCUUAGUCGUCUAGUUUUUUCUUAGUAUUGAUCCAUGGACUACAAUGUUAAUGAUCUAUUUUGAACUAUGCAGUAGACAUCUGUUUUCAAUUUCGACAUUCGAUAAAGGUUGUUUUUCAUUUCUUCAAUUUUAGUAUUAUUACGUAAGAACCUGAGAUUUAAAUAAACAUUUACUAGGUUCAAAUAUCUGUGUCAUUGAGCAUAUUGAACUUAUUUUACCAAUUUCUGUUUCUUUAUCUGCUUGAAGGGUGGGAGGCUUGGAGUUCAAAAGGCAUGGUGAGGUUUCAAAAGUUGUAAUUUAAUUUUUGAGCUUUAUGAUUAUAGUCGAGUUUCUAUGAUUGUCCUUGAUGGUUGUUUCUACUUUAUUUAAUUGAAGGCCAAAUUGUGAAGGUGGUUUACAUGACGACGAUGUGCACGUACGCGUGGUUGCAAGCGUUAAAGCUUGCUUUGGAAUUGGGGGCUGUUUUUUUAUAGAAUUGGAUCUUAAGGUAUAUCAACAGUAAUUCAAGUGUGAAAUUAGAUGAUCUAUAUAGUUGAUUUUCUAUCUUGCUUUAGUGUGUUAACUCAAAGCAAUUUUGAUGUAAACUUGUAAGUAUCGUUUUCUACAUGAAUUGUGAUAAUCAAUUACUUGAUAUGAUAUAUUUAGUAAAAUAAUGUGUGUUUAGAUUUUGUUAUAUUGAUAUUAAUGUGUGUUUACACCAUAUAAAAAAAAUUGUGGAAAAUGUACCCAAAAAAAAUUGUG
rnacentral:lncRNA from 1 species